GCAGGGAAGGAUUGGGUCUUAUGGUUGGGGUUAAAAGUCCAUGUGGACCAAUAAAUUAAUGCCACUUGGUUAAGUAGAAGACCCACUAAUCUCAUGUCUUGAUAUAUUAAGUCACAUUUCUGUCUUCUCAAUCAUUAUAUUCUAAGAUCAAAACUCAGAAGAACUUUUUCUACUCCCUCUGUUUCAAUUUAUAUGACAGAUUUCUCGUUUUAGUCGAUCCCAAAGAAUGAGACAUUUUUAUUUUUAGUAAUAAUUUAAUUUUGAAAUGUCAAUUCCACCUUAAUGGGAUGAUUUAUAACCACAUAUACUUAUGAGUUCAUUUUCAAUCACAAAUUUCAUAAGUCAUUUCACACUCCAUGCCCAAUCUAACCACAUCAUAUAAAUUGGGACCGAGGGAGCAGUCAUAUGUACUGAUAACGGCAUAUGUCUGUCAACUUUAGAUAUGUGAAAAAUGUCUCAUAAAUUGGGAUGAGGAGUAUAUGGUUGUGUUCAUCAUAUGUUUUAUUAACAGGGAGUUUGCCAAGAGACAUGUGGAAUUUGACAAAGCUUCAAGAUUUAUUUCUUGCUGGGAAUAACCUUACAGGAAGCAUACCAAAUGAAAUGAAGAACCUCUCUUCAAUUCGAAGAUUAAGCCUUCGAAGAAACGAGUUAGUUGGAACACUGCCAUCAACUCUUGGGAAUUUGUCAACUUUGGUGAUGAUAGACAUUGGUGAGAAUAAAAUCUGUGGUAAUAUUCCUCAAGAACUGGGACAUCUUUCUAGUCUUGAAGAAUUAUAUCUUGGAUCCAACAUGCUAUCAGGUGAAGUUCCUCAUGGAAUUUUCAACAUUUCAUCGCUAAAAGUAAUAGCACUUGCUGCAAAUAGUCUGUCUGGCAAACUUCCUUCAGACUUAGUGUAUAGCCUUCCAAAUCAAGGGACUUUACCUUGGGAUUAAUCAGUUUUGUGGUACACUUCCUGACUCUAUAUCGAAUGCCACUAAGCUCAACUUUCUUGAUCUUGGAAGGAACAUGUUUAGUGGAAAUGUACCAAUUGAUCUUGGAGUAAAUCUCCAGCAGAUUCAAAGCAUCAACUUGCAGAGGAAUCAGUUUACAAAUGAUCCUUCUACGGGUGAAUUAAGUUUUCUAAUAUCCCUCUCACAUUGCAAAUUCAUGACAUUUUUAAUGAUUGGAGACAACCAGUUUAGGGGCACUCUUCCGAAAUCAUCCUUGACUAACUUGUCGUCAUCUCUUGAGAGGUUCAUCGCCUAUGACUGUGGAAUCAGGGGGGAAAUCCCAGUUGAAAUUGGUAACUUGACUAACUUGUCAUGGUUAACACUGGGAGCCAAUGAGUUGAUUGGUUCAAUUCCUCAAGAAUUGGGAAACUUGAACAAGUUACAAACUUUGAGAAUGUAUGAGAACAAAUUAGAUGGGAUCAUACCUCAAAGCUUAUGCAAUAUCAAAGAAAUGUACUUUUUGGACUUGAGAAGAAAUCGGCUUACAGGGAAAGUACUAGGGUGUUUGGGAAAUAUUUAUUUAGAUUCCAAUGCUUUAAGUUCAAGUAUUCCAUUAAAUUUUUGGAGUAAUAAGGAUAUCUCAAUUGUGAAUUUGUUGUAUAAUCAGUUAAAUGGUCCUUUGGCAUUGAAAUUGGAAAUAUGAGGGGUUUAAGUGAGUUAUAUCUAUCAGGCAAUGAGUUGUUUGGUCAAAUUCCAAGCACCAUUGGACAACUUCAGAAUUUGGUUAAUCUUUCAUUAGAUAUGAAUAGGUUAGAUGGUGCUAUACCUAAGUCAUUUGAAAAUUUGGUCAGCUUGGAAUACUUGGAUCUCUCACAUAACAAUUUAUCGGGCCAAAUUCCAAUGUCAUUGACAAAGCUUGAGCAUCUCAUCUAUUUAAAUGUCUCUUUCAAUGAGUUAUCUGGUGAAAUUCCAGAUGGAGGGCCUUUUGGUAAUUUUACUGCUGAAUCAUUCAUCGGCAACACAGAGUUAUGUGGAUUGCUAGAUUCCUCGUCAAGGCAUGCAAAAACCAGAGCGAUAUGAGAAGAAACAGGAGCAAAACAGCACUACAAUUUUUUUCUUGGACCAGUUGUAGCUGGAGCAAUAGUCAUAGCCAUUUUAAGCAGUAUUUGGUGGUUGAAAUAUCGAAAACGGAACAACCAACUUAUUCCUUUGUGGUCCGAUUGGUAGGGUGAAUUAUCACACAAGAGGUUUUCUUACUACGAAACUGUUAAAGGGACUAACAACUUUGAAGAAUCGAAUUUGAUUGGAAAGGGAAGCCUUGGUUUGGUUUAUAAGGGGACAUUUACAAAUGGGACAGUAGUUGCUAUGAAGGUUUUCAAUGCACAAGUGCAAGCUGCAUUCAACAGGUUUGAUUUGGAGUGUAAGGUUUUGCGUAACAUUCGGCAUAGGAAUCUUGUUAAGGUGAUAAGAAGUUGUGCAAAUCUUGAUUUUAAGGCAUUGGUGCUAGAGUACAUGCCUAAUGGAGAUCUUGAUUAUUGGCUUUACUCUCACAAAAAUUUCUUGGAUUUAAUCCAGAGGCUAAAAAUUAUGGUUGAUGUGGCUUGUGCCUUAAAGAGUAACUACAUCAAGGCCAUUCAUUUGUCGUGGUCCAUUGUGACUUAAAACCAAGUAACAUUCUUUUGGAUGGAAACAUGGUUGCCAGAGUAAGUGACUUUGGUAUAUCCAAACUCUUGAUGGCGCAUGAUCCAGUGGCAUUGACCAAGACCUUAGGCACCAUUGGCUACAUGGCACCAGAAUACGGGUCAGAAGGGAUAGUGUCAACAAUGGGGGAUGUUUACAGCUACGGCAUUUUAUUGGUGGAAACCUUCACAAGAAAGAAGCCAGUAGAUGAUCUAUUUGUUAGAGAGCUUACUUUGAAGAAAUGGGUAGCGGAAGCAUAUCCUCUCAUAGGAUCAUGGACAUUGUGGAUGCCAAUUUAUUUUCAAGAGAUGAUGAACGUUUGUUGUUUGAGAUCAGUACUGGAAGUAGCUCUUGAAUGUACCGUCGAUUUGCCCCAGGACCGAAUUACCAUGGACAAUGUCCAGGCAACGCUUAACAAGAUCCAAACUCAAUUUUUGGGCCAGUAGAUGAAACAUUUAUUUCUAAAGAGAGACGCUUCAAUCAAACUAAAUUCUUUUCUUCACCGAUACAAAUUGUUGGGCUAGUACGUAAAACUUUAAGAGAUUGAUUUCUUUUCAAUUAUUUUACAAAGUUCGUUUCGUGUUUAUUCUUCUUUUUAUGUAAUAUAAUCCU